UACGUAGGGUGCGAGCGUUGUCCGGAAUUAUUGGGCGUAAAGGGCUCGUAGGCGGUUUGUCGCGUCGGGAGUGAAAACCUACAGCUUAACUGUGGGCUUGCUUUCGAUACGGGCAGACUAGAGUUCGGUAGGGGAGUCUGGAAUUCCUGGUGUAGCGGUGAAAUGCGCAGAUAUCAGGAGGAACACCGGUGGCGAAGGCGGGACUCUGGGCCGAUACUGACGCUGAGGAGCGAAAGCGUGGGGAGCAAACAGG
rnacentral:rRNA from 1 species